rnacentral:lncRNA from 1 species
AAAAAUCUGGGUUUAUAUGGUUAACAAUUGGUUUACUGUUGGUUUAAUAUUUUCUUAACCAAUUAACAAAUCUUAUUAACCAAAUUAAAUUUUAUCUCAACCCGGUUUCAAUUUUAAUUUAGUCAAACAUGAUUAAACCUUUUAUUUAAUGUUUAAAAAAAACCUAAAAAUUAAAACGAAGAAGACGAAGAAGAUCACUUCCUUCCUCCUUCUUCUUCUCCAUUUAGUGACUCCCAGACGGAAAAAAAAGAAGAAAAAACUGGAUCUUCAUCCUUCAAUUACAACUUCUUCUUCUCCAUUUAGUGACUCCCAGGCGAUUGAAGCUUGUGGUAUUUCCUAAUUGAAGGAUCCUGGGAAAGUGCUUAGAGAUUGGGAUCUAUGGGGCGCCUUGUUCAAUCUCACCAUCAUCUCCACCACC